rnacentral:tRNA from 1 species
AAGACUUUAAGUUAAAAAAACUAUAUACCUUCAAAGUAUACAAUAAAAUAAAUAAAUUAAGUCUUA